rnacentral:rRNA from 1 species
GACGAACGCUGGCGGCGUGCUUAACACAUGCAGGUCGAACGGAAAGGCCCUGCUUUUGUGGGGUGCUCGAGUGGCGAAAGGGUGAGUAACACGUGAGUAACCUGCCCUUGACUUUGGGAUAACUUCAGGAAACUGGGGCUAAUACCGGAUAGGAGCUCCUGCUGCAUGGUGGGGGUUGGAAAGUUUCGGCGGUUGGGGAUGGACUCGCGGCUUAUCAGCUUGUUGGUGGGGUAGUGGCUUACCAAGGCUUUGACGGGUAGCCGGCCUGAGAGGGUGACCGGCCACAUUGGGACUGAGAUACGGCCCAGACUCCUACGGGAGGCAGCAGUGGGGAAUAUUGCACAAUGGGCGGAAGCCUGAUGCAGCAACGCCGCGUGCGGGAUGACGGCCUUCGGGUUGUAAACCGCUUUCGCCUGUGACGAAGCGUGAGUGACGGUAAUGGGUAAAGAAGCACCGGCUAACUACGUG